AGAGUUUGAUCCUGGCUCAGGACGAACGCUGGCGGCGUGCUUAACACAUGCAAGUCGUGGGGGGGUAGCAAUACCUCACCGGCGAACGGGUGCGUAACACGUGAGCAACCUACCGAGUUCUGGGGGAUAGCCGGCCCAACGGCCGGGUAAUACCGCAUACGUUCUUCUGGUGGAGUCACCAGGGGAAGAAACCUCCGGGGGAAUUCGAGGGGCUCGCGGCCUAUCAGCUAGUUGGCGGGGUAAUGGCCCACCAAGGCGAUGACGGGUAGCUGGUCUGAGAGGAUGGCCAGCCACAUUGGGACUGAGAGACGGCCCAGACUCCUACGGGAGGCAGCAGUGGGGAAUCUUGCGCAAUGGUCGAAAGACUGACGCAGCGACGCCGCGUGCGGGAGGAAGCUCUUCGGGGUGUAAACCGCUGUUGCCCGGAACGAAACUUCUCUUUCGAGAGAAUUGACGG
rnacentral:rRNA from 1 species